ensembl:snRNA U6 U6 spliceosomal RNA
AUGCUCACUUGGGCAGCACAUAUGCUAAAAUUGGAACAAUACAGAGAAAAUUAGCAUGGCCCUGGUGCAAGGAUAACAUGCAAAUUUGUGAAGCAUUCCAUGUAAAA